AGGACGAACGCUGGCGGCGUGCUUAACACAUGCAAGUCGAGGGGGAGUAGGGGCAACUCUACUCCACCGGCGAACGGGUGCGUAACACGUGAGCGACCUACCCUGGUGUGGGGGAUAGCCGGCCCAACGGCCGGGUAAUACCGCAUGCGCUCUUUGGGCUUCCUGGCCCGGAGAGCAAAGCCUUCGGGCGCAUUGGGAGGGGCUCGCGGCCUAUCAGCUAGUUGGCGGGGUAACGGCCCACCAAGGCGGCGACGGGUAG
rnacentral:rRNA from 1 species